rnacentral:rRNA from 1 species
CAAGUCGAACGAGAACGGGACCUUCGGGUCCUUAUUAGAGUGGCGCACGGGUGAGUAACACGUGAGCAACCUACCCUUUGAUUUGGAAUAACCACCCGAAAGGGUGGCUAAUACCGAAUAAUGUCAUCACCCUACGGGGUAGUUGACCAAAGAUGGCCUCUGUUAAAGCUAUCGUCGAAGGAUGGGCUCGCGUCCCAUUAGCUUGUUGGUGAGGUAACGGCUCACCAAGGCUACGAUGGGUAGUUGGUCUGAGAGGAUGACCAGCCACACUGGCACUGAGAUACGGGCCAGACUCCUACGGGAGGCAGCAGUGAGGAAUUUUGCGCAAUGGGCGAAAGCCUGACGCAGCAACGCCGCGUGUGUGAUGAAGCCUUUCGGGGUGUAAAGCACUGUCAGGUGGGAAGAAACUCCUUCCGCCAAAUAGGCGGUUGGACUGACGGUACCACCAAAGGAAGCCCCGGCUAACUCCGUGCCAGCAGCCGCGGUAAUACGGAGGGGGCAAGCGUUGCUCGGAAUUACUGGGCGUAAAGGGCGUGUAGGCGGCCACUUAAGUCGGGUGUGAAAGCCCUCGGCUCAACCGAGGAACUGCGCUCGAAACUGAGUGGCUUGAGU